AUUGUGGCGACGCCACAGCGCGGUAAUACGUAGGGCGCAAGCGUUGUCCGGAAUUAUUGGGCGUAAAGAGCUCGUAGGCGGUUUGUCGCGUCUGGUGUGAAAACUCGAGGCUCAACCUCGAGCUUGCAUCGGGUACGGGCAGACUAGAGUGCGGUAGGGGAGACUGGAAUUCCUGGUGUAGCGGUGGAAUGCGCAGAUAUCAGGAGGAACACCGAUGGCGAAGGCAGGUCUCUGGGCCGCAACUGACGCUGAGGAGCGAAAGCAUGGGGAGCGAACAGGAUUAGAUACCCUGGUAGUCCAUGCCGUAAACGUUGGGCACUAGGUGUGGGGCUCAUUCCACGAGUUCCGUGCCGCAGCAAACGCAUUAAGUGCCCCGCCUGGGGAGUACGGCCGCAAGGCUAAAACUCAAAGGAAUUGACGGGGGCCCGCACAAGCGGCGGAGCAUGCGGAUUAAUUCGAUGCAACGCGAAGAACCUUACCAAGGCUUGACAUGCACGGGAAGCCACCAGAGAUGGUGGUCUCUUUGGACACUCGUGCACAGGUGGUGCAUGGUUGUCGUCAGCUCGUGUCGUGAGAUGUUGGGUUAAGUCCCGCAACGAGCGCAACCCUCGUCCCAUGUUGCCAGCGGGUUAUGCCGGGGACUCAUGGGAGACUGCCGGGGUCAACUCGGAGGAAGGUGGGGAUGACGUCAAAUCAUCAUGCCCCUUAUGUCUUGGGCUUCACGCAUGCUACAAUGGCCGGUACAAAGGGCUGCGAUACCGUAAGGUGGAGCUAAUCCCAAAAAGCCGGUCUCAGUUCGGAUUGGGGUCUGCAACUCGACCCCAUGAAGUCGGAGUCGCUAGUAAUCGCAGAUCAGCAACGCUGCGGUGAAUACGUUCCCGGGCCUUGUACACACCGCCCGUCAAGUCACGAAAGUCGGUAACACCCGAAGCCCAUGGCCCAACCGUUCGCGGGGGGAGUGGUCGAAGGUGGGACUGGCGAUUGGGACUAAGUCGUAACAA
rnacentral:rRNA from 1 species